GACGAACGCUGGCGGCGUGCUUAACACAUGCAAGUCGAACGGAAAGGCCCUGCUUUUGUGGGGUGCUCGAGUGGCGAACGGGUGAGUAACACGUGAGUAACCUGCCCUUCACUUUGGGAUAACUUCAGGAAACUGGGGCUAAUACCGGAUAGGAGCUCCUGCUGCAUGGUGGGGGUUGGAAAGUUUCGGCGGUUGGGGAUGGACUCGCGGCUUAUCAGCUUGUUGGUGGGGUAGUGGCUUACCAAGGCUUUGACGGGUAGCCGGCCUGAGAGGGUGACCGGCCACAUUGGGACUGCGAUGCGGCCCAGACUCCUACGGGAGGCAGCAGUGUGGAAUAUUGCACAAUGGACGGAAGCCUGAUGCAGCAACGCCGCGUGCGGGAUGACGGCCUUCCGGUUGUUAACCGCUUUCGCCUGUGACGAAGCGUGAAUGACGGUACUGGGUAAAGAAGCACCGGCUAACUCCGUG
rnacentral:rRNA from 1 species